CCUUACACAUGCAAGUCGAACGGCAGCGCGGGAGUAAUCCUGGCGGCGAGUGGCGAACGGGUGAGUAAUACAUCGGAACGUGCCCAAUCGUGGGGGAUAACGCAGCGAAAGCUGUGCUAAUACCGCAUACGAUCUACGGAUGAAAGCAGGGGAUCGCAAGACCUUGCGCGAAUGGAGCGGCCGAUGGCAGAUUAGGUAGUUGGUGAGGUAAAGGCUCACCAAGCCUUCGAUCUGUAGCUGGUCUGAGAGGACGACCAGCCACACUGGGACUGAGACACGGCCCAGACUCCUACGGGAGGCAGCAGUGGGGAAUUUUGGACAAUGGGCGAAAGCCUGAUCCAGCCAUGCCGCGUGCAGGAUGAAGGCCUUCGGGUUGUAAACUGCUUUUGUACGGAACGAAACGGCCUUUUCUAAUAAAGAGGGCUAAUGACGGUACCGUAAGAAUAAGCACCGGCUAACUACGUGCCAGCAGCCGCGGUAAUACGUAGGGUGCAAGCGUUAAUCGGAAUUACUGGGCGUAAAGCGUGCGCAGGCGGUAAUGUAAGACAGUUGUGAAAUCCCCGGGCUCAACCUGGGAACUGCAUCUGUGACUGCAUUGCUGGAGUACGGCAGAGGGGGAUGGAAUUCCGCGUGUAGCAGUGGGACCCGCACAAGCGGUGGAUGAUGUGGUUUAAUUCGAUGCAACGCGAAAAACCUUACCCACCUUUGACAUGUACGGAAUUCGCCAGAGAUGGCUUAGUGCUCGAAAGAGAACCGUAACACAGGUGCUGCAUGGCUGUCGUCAGCUCGUGUCGUGAGAUGUUGGGUUAAGUCCCGCAACGAGCGCAACCCUUGUCAUUAGUUGCUACAUUUAGUUGGGCACUCUAAUGAGACUGCCGGUGACAAACCGGAGGAAGGUGGGGAUGACGUCAAGUCCUCAUGGCCCUUAUAGGUGGGGCUACACACGUCAUACAAUGGCUGGUACAAAGGGUUGCCAACCCGCGAGGGGGAGCUAAUCCCAUAAAACCAGUCGUAGUCCGGAUCGCAGUCUGCAACUCGACUGCGUGAAGUCGGAAUCGCUAGUAAUCGUGGAUCAGAAUGUCACGGUGAAUACGUUCCCGGGUCUUGUACACACCGCCCGUCACACCAUGGGAGCGGGUUCUGCCAGAAGUAGUUAGCUUAACCGCAAGGAGGGCGAUUACCACGGCAGGGUUCGUGACUGGGGUGAAGUC
rnacentral:rRNA from 1 species